rnacentral:rRNA from 1 species
GACGAACGCUGGCGGCGUGCUUAACACAUGCAAGUCGAACGGAAAGGCCCUGCUUUUGUGGGGUGCUCGAGUGGCGAACGGGUGAGUAACACGUGAGUAACCUGCCCUUGACUUUGGGAUAACUUCAGGAAACUGGGGCUAAUACCGGAUAGGAGCUCCUGCUGCAUGGUGGGGGUUGGAAAGUUUCGGCGGUUGGGGAUGGACUCGCGGCUUAUCAGCUUGUUGGUGGGGUAGUGGCUUACCAAGGCUUUGACGGGUAGCCGGCCUGAGAGGGUGACCGGCGACAUUGGGACUGAGAUACGGCCCAGACUCCUACGGGAGGCAGCAGUGGGGAAUAUUGCACAGUGGGCGGAAGCCUGAUGCAGCAACGCCGCGUGCGGGAUGACGGCCUUCGGGUUGUAAACCGCUUUCGCCUGUGACGAAGCGUGAGUGACGGUAAUGGGUGAAGAAGCACCGGCUAACUACGUG